GAUGAACGCUGGCGGCGUGCCUAAUACAUGCAAGUCGAGCGAACAGACGAGGAGCUUGCUCCUCUGACGUUAGCGGCGGACGGGUGAGUAACACGUGGAUAACCUACCUAUAAGACUGGGAUAACUUCGGGAAACCGGAGCUAAUACCGGAUAAUAUAUUGAACCGCAUGGUUCAAUAGUGAAAGACGGUUUUGCUGUCACUUAUAGAUGGAUCCGCGCCGCAUUAGCUAGUUGGUAAGGUAACGGCUUACCAAGGCAACGAUGCGUAGCCGACCUGAGAGGGUGAUCGGCCACACUGGAACUGAGACACGGUCCAGACUCCUACGGGAGGCAGCAGUAGGGAAUCUUCCGCAAUGGGCGAAAGCCUGACGGAGCAACGCCGCGUGAGUGAUGAAGGUCUUUGGAUCGUAAAACUCUGUUAUUAGGGAAGAACAAAUGUGUAAGUAACUAUGCACGUCUUGACGGUACCUAAGCAGAAAGCCACGGCUAACUACGU
rnacentral:rRNA from 1 species